rnacentral:rRNA from 1 species
CCUACGGGCGGCUGCAGUGGGGAAUAUUGGACAAUGGAGGAAACUCUGAUCCAGCCAUGCCGCGUGAUAGAUGAAGGCCCUCUGGGUUGUAAAUAUCUUUUAUCUGGGAAGAAACAAUCUUAUUCUUAAGAUCUUGACGGUACCAGAGGAAUAAGCACCGGCUAACUCCGUGCCAGCAGCCGCGGUAAUACGGAGGGUGCAAGCGUUAUCCGGAUUCACUGGGUUUAAAGGGUGCGUAGGCGGGCUGAUAAGUCAGUGGUGAAAGCUCCGAGCUUAACUUGGAAACUGCCAUUGAUACUGCCAGUCUUGAAUGUCGUAGAGGUAAGCGGAAUGUUGCAUGUAGCGGUGAAAUGCUUAGAUAUGUUACAGAACACCAAUUGCGAAGGCAGCUUACUAUGCGAUGAUUGACGCUGAGGCACGAAAGCGUGGGGAGCAAACAGGAUUAGAUACCCCUGUAGUC